UACGUAGGGUGCGAGCGUUGCCCGGAUUUAUUGGGCGUAAAGGGCGCGUAGGCGGCCUGUUACGUCUGCUGUGAAAUCCCGGGGCUUAACCCCGGGCGUGCAGUGGAUACGGGCAGGCUGGAGGCAGGCAGGGGAGAAUGGAAUUCCCGGUGUAGCGGUGAAAUGCGCAGAUAUCGGGAGGAACACCGGUGGCGAAGGCGGUUCUCUGGGCCUUACCUGACACUGAGGAGCGAAAGCGUGGGGAGCGAACAGG
rnacentral:rRNA from 1 species